UUGUGAUGAUUACCUAGAUGACGAGUCUUAUUCGAGUUUUCGAUGCAGACAACCUUCUUUUUUUUACCAUUCAUGCCUUUCUGACA
rnacentral:snoRNA from 1 species